GGCCCCAUAGUCUAGCCUGGCCUAGGACGUUAGCUUCUCAAGCUGAAAGCACGGGUUCGAAUCCCGUUGGGGCUG
rnacentral:tRNA from 1 species